rnacentral:sRNA from 1 species
UGAGUGUGAGAGGAUUUUGUGUAUACUA